CAAAUUCGCUUCUAGGGGAGU
rnacentral:miRNA from 1 species